AGAGUUUGAACCUGGCUCAGGACGAACGCUGGCGGCGUGCCUAAUACAUGCAAGUCGAACGAACUCUGGUAUUGAUUGGUGCUUGCAUCAUGAUUUACAUUUGAGUGAGUGGCGAACUGGUGAGUAACACGUGGGAAACCUGCCCAGAAGCGGGGGAUAACACCUGGAAACAGAUGCUAAUACCGCAUAACAACUUGGACCGCAUGGUCCGAGUUUGAAAGAUGGCUUCGGCUAUCACUUUUGGAUGGUCCCGCGGCGUAUUAGCUAGAUGGUGGGGUAACGGCUCACCAUGGCAAUGAUACGUAGCCGACCUGAGAGGGUAAUCGGCCACAUUGGGACUGAGACACGGCCCAAACUCCUACGGGAGGCAGCAGUAGGGAAUCUUCCACAAUGGACGAAAGUCUGAUGGAGCAACGCCGCGUGAGUGAAGAAGGGUUUCGGCUCGUAAAACUCUGUUGUUAAAGAAGAACAUAUCUGAGAGUAACUGUUCAGGUAUGACGGUAU
rnacentral:rRNA from 2 species